CAGCGCGUGUGCACUGAGUUCAGAACAGCCACAAACAGCCACGGGUUCUGAAUGCUCCUAAAGGUCUUUAGGAAUGCGAAACAUCUGAGAAGUCCAAGGGAACACAUCUAAGCCUGAGAGGCGGAGGGGAGGCCGGCAGCCACAGCGCUGCUUCGCAGGUGAAGAUGUGAGGCGUUGCAGAGCACUGCCUUCCUCCUGCUCAGCACCUGCCUUCGCACGCAGUUACGUACAACACGCCAGGAACUACGAAGGCGAUCGUGUCAGCUCUGAAGGUAAACACACUGGAGAAUGUUUAAGGAAAAGGCAAAUAAACGAACAGAACUAAUAACAGCACGUUAAAAGCCUUUCACCACAGCUGCCAUCGCGUUAUCAGGGCCUUAAAACGCUGCCUGGAAGCCCGAAUGCGACACCGCACCGCAACCGCACCCCAGCUGCUCCCUUCUCGUUCCUCUACACGAGAGGGCAACGCGCACGAAGUCAGCGUGAAUUAACUUCCGCCAACGGCCGGUCGGUUACAGGAUAAACAGCACGGAGAACCCGAAAGGAAAAGGAAGCUGUGCGCAAACGGCCCCGCAGCCCCAGCGGUUGGAGCGCGGCGCUCCACGCGAGCGGCGAAGCGCGGCGCUGCCCGCCCGGGGACACGGCGCGCCGCAGCGGCCCCGCGCUGACACAGCACAAAUGACCGCACGGCGCGGGGGGUGCGGUAACAGCUGGCGGAGGAGCGGCCGAGGGGACGGAGCUCGCGGGGCCGCAGACAUGCCGGACCGGGCCCGCCCCGCAGUCAGGCUCGGCUCGGCUCGGCUCGGCUCGGCGCAGCGGCCCCAACCGGACGGCACCGGACCGGCCCCGCAGCUCUGCCCGCCGCUCGCGGCCCGCAGGGCAGGGCCGGGCCGGGCCCGGCAGCGCGGCGGCCGCGGGCGCCGUGUCAGCGCGGGGGAGGCCAAGACCCGGCGCUCAGCGCCGCCCCCCGCUCCGGCCGGACCGUACCUGACACAAACACGACGAAGACCGAGCUCUGCUGCUUGGCGGCGGCGAUGGCGGCCGGGAUGGAGCCCCCGAACCACAUCAUGGUGACCGCCGGGCUCCGAAGCCGCGACAGCCCCACUGCGCAUGCGCCGCGACCGCCGCUCCGCCGCGCCAACCUCCCGUCACGCGCCUGCGCCGGAGGCCCGAGCCCCGCCUUCUGAUUGGCGCCCGCGGGCACCGCGUGCCCUCCCUUGGUCGCGCGCUCGAUGGCGGCAGAUUCACCUCAGCCUGUGGGGGCGACGGGCGCCAUGUUGGGCUCUUCGCGCUUUGCCUCCGGGCGGUUUGUACCGCCCUGUUCGAGGGUGCGUCGGGCUCGAGGGGGCUCUGAAGCACCGCUACCCUGUGGUUGCCGAAAGGAAAAGGGGCCUGCGCACACGUGGUGUGUGGUGAGGGGCUGUGCGGGCAGGGGAGACACAGCUCACCCGGGAAGGCCAGGGGUGCGUGACGAGAAGCUGACAGAAAGUGGUGCUCAGUGUGUGGAAAAGAAGCGAACGUGGCUUGCAUGGGGCCUCCAGGCUCACUGCGAGAAGAUGAGCGCAGCCUAGCCGUGAGGCAGCACUGCUCAGGGACGUGCGUUGGAAAGCACGAUUCUCUACAAUUCCUACACCACUUCAAACAAGAAAGAAUUCCGUUGAAGCAUACCAAGGGGAGGGCCCACUGACGUCCGGAUUGGUAACUUCUGUGAGGGCGUGCUCUUUGUACAGCCGGGUCACUGGGCUGCGGCAGUUGCAACGCCUCGAGGGCUCCUGGAGCAAAGUCCCUGAGAAGCUGCAAAUAGAGCGUUUGUAGAGCCGGACGGGGAUCAGGCCGGGCUGGUUGCACGGUGAAGAACCCCAGAGGACAGAAAGCAGCACGUGGAUUAAGGUACCUUCCAGAGCUUUGCUUUAAAAAGAUUUUAAAGGUUGCUCUCGUUCCCAGCCGGCUUCCCAAGUUGCUUAUAUUUGCAAUGUUGUGUAAGGUGCAAGGAAGCUUUACAACCCACCUCCAGAGCAUUUGUUGCUGCAGGUCUAAGACUUCUGAGAACAUACGGAGCCAAAUUUAAUUGAAAUUCCAUCUGUCACUCUUGUGGAAAUUUUAGCUGGUAUGAGAUAAAUAUGCAAAAUUGAAUUUGGCAAUCAAUACGGGCAAUAAUGCAAUAAGGCUGUUUACAUUUUAGGAUGCUGGUGAUUCACACCUCCCCCCUCAAAAAACCCAACAAAUCAGUGCAGAUUCACUUGGAUUGUAAAGCAAAAUAUUUUCAUGAGUGGAUUUCUUUUAAUUGCACUGUUAUUGAAUUCUAAGCAGUGGUCCAUUAACAAAUCAAACAGUAUUAGUUUGAACCAGUUUUUCAAAGGAUUUGAAUAAACACAGAGGCAAACUGGUGUGUUUCCUAGCAUCUGUAUAUCAGUGCUGUAGACUCUCCUAGCACUAUCCUAGUGCUGUUUCUUACAGUAACUAACUUGGAAACUGUACAAAUGGCAAGGCUGUGCUGCAUACCAAUCUCUCCAACUGAUCUUAUGACCAGUGCAAGGAAGAGUUACAAGGUAGGUGUUAGAAAGAAGCAGAAUGCCAGUGUCCCCAAUUCAAGUUCUGUAAAUUGAGUUUGACGUAAUGCAAUAUUGCAUUUUUUUUUUCUUUUUUAAUAUAGUUUCUUUAAGUUAGCUCUCAAGUACUGUUAGGAAAUCAAGUGUAACAGGUCACUUUGGAUUGAAGCUAGUACAUACCACAGCCACCUUGUAGCGUUUCUGUAUCUGGAAAUUUUCACUGUUCUUAUUGUGAUAUAUCAUCAUCAGUCCUUAGUGUAAUUCAGAUUCUCAGUCAACUGGGGCAUGGGAACUGAAUUAAGAAUAAACUUCACUAGUGAGCAUUAUACACAGUAGCAGAGUUUAUUUUUAUACCUGAUAGCAGUUUUUAAAGCAAUCGGUUAUCAGCAACAUACAAUUUUUCCUAUAUGGCUCUUUGGUUUAUAGCACUAGUCUUUCUGACAUCAGAUUUCUCUUCAGAAGCACAGAAACAAUUCAUUACAGUUGCAUGCAUCCCACAGAAUGACUGCUCUGUGCUUUACUGGUUGGUAAGACUGACAAAAUAAAACAGUGGAUGUUAAUGUGUUUGUGCCCUGUACCAAAUUUUAAUGCUUCUUCAUCUCUUAUGCAAGAUCCACUUUCACCUGACAAAUUUUGACAGUCAGCAAAUGUUGCAAAGAAGUCAAGUAGUUACAAGCAGGAUAAAAAAUAAGCCUUGCUAAACAGGGCCUGUCAGAUAGUCAGGUCUAAACUCCAGCCCUACAAGCCUAAACAUAUGAGGCAGUCACUGAACUAAGGGGAGGUCCACACAUCUAUGUUAAGAACAUGACUGCAUAAUUUUCAAGUUGGCCAAGAGACAACUUCAUUCACACUGGACCUCACAUCUAAAAUUUUCAGGUGUGAAUAAUGGCUUUGCUCUUAUUUUCAAAUAAAAGCACUUAAAGGGACAUAACUUUCAGAAGGUUUUGGAAAUUAGGCCCUUUUAAGGGUUCUGGUUUACGUGUGAGAAUUAAGACUUCUAAAAUGAAGUCACAUUAAUGUUGUGCACUGUUUAUGUUUACUGACAUCAAUAGCCAAAAAUACCCAAACUGCAGGAUCAGGAAUUUGGAUAGAGGCAGCACAUCAAUAUUCCUGAAGGCUGGGCUGUAGAAACACCAAGGGGACUGAAGUCAGUCCUUUCUGAACUACAGUAAUUUUUCAUGACAUUUAAUUUAGAGGUGGUUUGAUCAGUUUUCUCCAGAGCUUCAUAUAAGCAUUCUUUGCCUCGGGGCUAAAUAUGGGAAAUUACAACCAGCACCAAUUUCCUAGGGAAAAAGUGCACGUCAUGCAGCUUUAGCUUUACAGACCUUUACAAACAUUAGUUGCAAUUUUAAUUAAGACUCAUGCUACUAUGAGAUUAACUAGCAAACAUCAAAUGUGAAGUUUUAAGGCACAAAUAAGUGUGUAAACAUGAGAAUAAAAAUUUCUUCCACCUUGAGGGCAAAAUGACUUGUGUCAUUGGAUAGGAGGAGCUGUUGGAAUGACAGCAAAACUGGUCUUACUGUGAAGUACAUGUUGUGUCACCAAGCUGAGCAAUUCUUCUCAUGCUGUGACAAAACAGAACUCCCAUCUACAUACCACCAUCCUCAUCUGGAUCUUGGAACAAUUUACAACUUCAGCCUGCCCAGGUCCAGUGAUGUUAGGGAUGGUUGCAGUACUACAGACCUCAAUAUCAAGUGCACCACAGAGUUCAAUUUCUUUCCCUGUAGAUGUUCCACUACUGUGGUCAUCUUUGAGGUCUGUGUGAAGGCAAGAAAAGGAUUUCAGAUUAAAAUAGGUUCAAUUUGCUUAGGGAGAAGUCUCAGGAAGAUGCAAGAAACAGAUGGCUGACAUUUCACUUUAUGCCAGUGGCUUGGCAGCUGGGUGGAGGCUGUGAGUAGAUUCUCAGGUGUGUGGUUAUGUUUACCUGAAUCCAGGCACAUGCCCGUGGGUUUUUCAGUGCUCCCCAAGGAUGGGGCUUGUUUGUUUUCUUCAUUCUGAACAAUUGUUUUCAGUGUACAAUCACAGCAAUGAAUGCGUUCACAGUUGAGGGAUGCAUUUUGUACAGUAAUAUUACUGCAUUAAUUAAAAACUGAACUCAAGUAGUAGCCUUGGGUGGAGUAGAUAAUAGAUUCACCUGGGUAUUCUAGUUAUUCUUGAGUGCUGUGUCCUCAGCUUUAGCAGUUGUAACAUGUUCCCAGCCAAAUGAAAUGUAUUAAAUCACUGCAAUAUAAUUUGUGUCCUUAAUUCCUUUUGCCAUUAUUCACUUUCGAAAUGGCUCCAACAUGGAAUGGCAGGAAGCUCAAAUAAACUAAUUCUAGGUUGGUGAGAACACUUGAGAAAACUGGUUUUCCAUACAGUGUUUGUUCUCAGCUGUGAAAUAAAUCUAAUUCCAGGGUCUUUGUACACAGACUCAAAUUGUGCCUUUUGAGGAACCAAAAGGGACAGAAGUGUAGAAGUCAGGGAAGUACAGCUGGUCUUACUUAAACUUUUAAGUUUGAAGGCUAAUGUCCGAUGAACCCUCUCAUAGGGAUGGUAUGAAGUGGCACAGAACGUGCAGCGAACAAAUCACUGUAAAGCACAAGUAUUUUUUAAACUCUGAAGUCUAAAAUGGGCACAGAAGCCUUUGACACUUACAGAGUCCUGUUCGUUAUAAUCAGUGAGGCACAUAUCAACCUGUCCCGACAAAAAAUGUACCUGCCCCUGCUCAACAGAAAAAAAGUGCUCAGAAAGGGUGACCCAUCUGUAGUAAUAGUAGGGAAGAGUCAUAUUCUGGAUGAGUAUACACUUAUUAAUUGCUCUGGAAUGCUUAGUACUGUUCUUUGGUCAUUCAGAAUGGACAGUAACUCAGUUAUUCACUCUUCUUCUAUAUCUGUGAAAAAUCUUGUCCUAGAAUUUUCUUUUUUUAGCCAGAGGCAACAACUGCCUCUCUGAGUUGUGGCACCUGUAAUUACAAACUUCUAACUUGUAGGAUUAAAACCAUAAUCUUUAGCUAGUUUGGGUUAUUGGCAAGAAGCAAUGGUGCAGCUUGUGCAUUGGUCACAUUAUCAUCUGUGCUGUUCAGUAGUGGAAUAGUGUAAUGUAGAUAACCUGGGGUUAUAUUUUCUUUGGUCGUGGGUACAGUAAUCCACAGCAAUUCCAUCUCAGGAUGAAAACAGAUAUCCUCUCAGGUAUGGCUGUUAAUUCAGCUAGCAGCAGAUGUACUGGAAUGCCAAGAAGCAGCCAUCUUUUGAGCAAAGUGGUCCUACUGUUAAGUAGAUGUGUAUUUUGGCUGGGGCUUAAAGCUGAACAUUCUCCUUCUGCCGUAGGAGACAUCCAGAGGGGAAGUUUACCCUUAGUCAUGUAAAUACAUGUCAUUACAGCCUUUGGCAGAGCCAGGUCCCACAUGCUUAAUUCAUUAGGCUAUCUCAUCCCCAGACAGACCAAUUCUCUUCUGUAUACUUUGAUUAAUCACACAAAUGAUUUAAAAACUAAACAUGCAGAGGACAGUUCUUGCUUCUUCACACAUUGAUGUUUAGUUGUUCAGUGGUAGAAUUUCUGAAAUGAGGAAAAAAUUAGGCACCAAAAUUCUUUACUUAACCACUGUAAAAUGUUUUUAAAUGUAACAUUUACCUUGAGUCUCCACUUAGAGGAAUUAAAAAUGCAUGUUUUACAAAGCUGUGCCCUUAAAGGAAGGGAACAGGUUGUUAUUUAUCUACACAGCAAGUCACCACCUGUGCUACAAGAGAAAAACCACAAAACGGACAGCCCUUAGAGUCUCUGAUUUAUUCUAUUUUCACUUGUAUGGGGGAAACGCUUAAAAAAAAUGGGGAAGAUGUAAAUAAAUGCUUUAAGAAGAGAGAUUGUAGUUAAAAAAAAAAUUACAGUAGUAGUUAUUUUCAAGUUAUUUUCUCACAUGUAUAGGGAUCCAAACCAUCAGUGUGUUCAUCCAGGUUUCAGAAGGCUCCUAGAAGUUUAAACAAGUGCACCAAAAAAGUUUGUGUUUGUAAACAUUUAUUUUCUUGAACUGAAAAAGGCUUGCAUCAGCACACAUUGUACAGCCUUGCAAAUUACACAAAUUGAAAAAAAUGUUUGUUUCAUUUUUAUGUGCAAUGAGUCUUUUGAUGUCCAGUGAGUAUCUGCAAAUGAUGAAAACUUAAACCAUUAAAAAGGUUUCCAGCUCUUAUCAAACACAAUUAUUUUAGCGUGAAAAGAAAGAGAAAGAGAUUCAUACUGGUGGGAACACAAUUAAAGUGCAAACAUUUUGUCACUUGUGAAGAUACAUUUUAGUUUCUUCACCUUUUGCUAAAAAGAAAUAUUAAAAUGUGAUUCAGUGAACAUUCUUUGUAAUCUAUUCAUAUUCCCCUUUAAAUACUUAUUCAACUCGUUGGAUCAAAGCGAAUCCUCGAAGGGUACAAUGAACUUGUAAUUUCUUUUGACAUCGCUUGAAUGAAUCUCAAAAGAAAACAACCAUCUAAGGAAUUAACUAGUUACUAAAAUUAUAUAUUUCUUUUCUUUAAAAAAAACAAAAAAUGCAAGGGACAGGGAACAGGUACAUCUGAAUAUGUUGGGCAGUUCACUAGAAAAUGAGCGUAAUUCCUUGAAAAUGGUUCUCUUUUUCCCCUACACCAAUCCUCAGGUUCCUGCUUUGGAAUGGACAGCUGUGUGCUGGCAGUGAACAGGGAUUAUAAAGUACAAAUCUGAAUGUGGGCUUUUAUGAACGUUUGCUGUACAAUAGAACUUUGGAUCUGAUACAAGAAGUCAAAAAUAUAAAACAAAACUAUUAUAAAAGUAGGGGGCAUUUCAGUGGCAUUCUGUAUAGAAAGCUGCCUUUCUCAAAGAUGUUUUCUUGCUCUUGUCUGGAAUUAACUUUUUCAUCGUGCUGGAUCACUGGGUUAUUCUUCAAUGGCUAAUGUCACUUAUGACAAAACAUCCCAGGAAUCUCUGUGAAAAGAACAGAAACCCCACAACAUUAAGCCGAUCAAGGAGAGGAGGACAUGGAAGUAGUAAAGGCUGAGUGUCCAUCGAUGAAACUGCUACUGAGAACUAGCCCUUUCCAGGAUAUGAAAAUCGUAGUGCUUCUUGCUUGUUCUCAGCCUGAACUUGUUAACUGAGGUACUACUUUGUUUCUUCAAUGCGUUCUGAGCAGCCGACAUUGUAGGGAACAUAGCUAGAACCGUGUAAGUGGAGGCCAAGUCAGUAGAUUUGCAUGGCUCAGUGUUCACAUUACUAUCUCCGCUGCCACAGUAACGCCGGUGGUGCUGCUGCUGUGUUUGUAGACACUGUGAAUCCCUCAGCCACCGGAUCUUGGCACCCACUUUUAAAAGUUCUCCAAAUAGUUUUUCUGCUUCCAUACGAGUGAUACCUUCUGGCAGUUCCGUUAUUUCUAGAACUUUUCCCACAACUGGCUCUCCUGCACCAAGAUCUGCUGAAGCAGCCUUCUUUGCUGGUUUCUUUCCCCUGUUUCCAUGUCUGUUUCCAGGCUGACACUAGAGAGAUGAAUAUAAAUGACGUGCUUUAAUGACAAGGCAUCAUAUCUUAAAAGUUCUGCAUUACCUCAGUGUAAAUCCUUGACUUCAGAAGGAAGGAAGGAAAUGAUGAAAACCAUCACCUUAAAACUCCUCAGAAAAAAAUAAACCACCAACCCCCAAACCCAUCACAUCUUCUGGCCGAUCUCUGGUACAAUUGAGCAAGGUAGGAGUGGAGGGUUUAAGUCUCUCCCCAUCAGUAAAUACCGUUUUGCCAACACAAUAUUUUCUUUUCUUGUAAGAAACAAAACCACUUUUUGCUUAGGAAUACCUGUAUUUCCUAUUUUUUAAAAAUUGUUACUCAAAAUCCUUUUAAGCAAAAUUUUUUUUAGAACUCAUUUUUAGAACUGCUGCCUAACUGCUUCCAGGAGAAUCCAUAUUCUACACUGUGCCUUGCAGCUUCUUUCAUAGGUUGAAGUUUCAGUUCAAACGACAAGUUACGUUUCAGAAUAAUGCUUCUCAUUACUUCUACCAUAAGAACACCAUCAAAGAUGAAGAAUACAUCAACAAAGAAUAAAACAGUUACUAGAAAGCAAGUGCUUUCCAAUCAAUCACUUUUCUAAUGCAACAAUGUAAGUCCCUAUUCACGGCUAUUAUAAUUGCAGUCCUAAAUUGCUUUCUUCUAUGCUGCCAGGAGAGUGUUCUCUUUAGUACCUGUUGGCUUGCUACUUGUCCACGUAAUAAAGAUGGUGGAUUGUAUUGCAGGGGCUGGCCGAGCAGUGGGUAUCUGGCAUCUCCUUAAAGAGAAAGGUAAUUAGAAGGGUCCUCCCUGCCCCCAAAAUAUUGUAACACAAUUUAGAGUUUUUGUGUAUAUCUUAUAUAGGAGAAAGCAGAAUAAGUAUGCACAAUGCAGUGUAUUUGGCUAAGCUAGGAAAAUAAGAUUUAAUGUGAUGAAGUCGCAUACUGAUCACAGGGUGAAAAGGUACAAGCCCAAGGCUUUCUUGCAUUUAAGAGUUAUGCUGAAAAAACGCACCAACAUUAUUUGCUGCGGUGUCACCUGAAAAUGACCUUAAUAAAGGACUUCUCGGUGUACUAAUUUAACCAUUUCCAUUAUUGUAUCCCUGGUGAGUGCCAGGUAUGUCUUCAUAUUCCUAUUUAUUCCAGGGACUACCAAACAAUUUUUUUUAACAAUCACAGAAAAUUAAAGAAGUUGAGAGACGUAUUUUGCAACAGGCAACUUGGAAUUUUUACGAUGGAAUACCAAGCAAUGAUGUAAAGGUUGUGCAGCAGACAGGACAAAGACAAACAAAAGCAAAUAAAGUUUCUUGUGUCAAUAAAGACGACACAACAGCAUUUCCUCUAAGCCUUGCUUUACUCAUGCAAUUUUUCUACAAAAUAGAUCCAUCGAUUUUCAGUUUUGGAACUACACACCAGGACAUCUUUGGUCACUGCCAAAGGACUUCUUGUUUGUUUUCAGACUUUCACAUCAUAAUGAAAAUUUCCUAUUUUCUGUUGUUUUUUUUUUUUUUUUUUUUUUUCUGAUAACACGGCAGAAGAGGAAUGAAAUUAUUCUACAAGGGACUUUUUCUGCUAUCAUACCAGUUUUUCUAAAAGAAAUGAAGAAUUCACACUUAGCAGUGGUUUGAUUCAAUGCAUUCAUCAAUGAAGAAAAGGGUUUUGGCAGAACAUUCAUCUUAAAAUUACACUUCUAUACCCUUAUCCCUGAAAGAUAACAUAAGUAUAAAAUGCAUUAAGAUGAGCUAGUGGAUAGCUUUGCUGAUCUUCCUUCAGUAAGAUUACUACUGAAGUGAGCCACAGUUUGUCAGAAAAUCCUUAAUGUCUUUUAAAAUGCAUUAAAAAAAACAAAAACCAACAAAACAACACACACACAUUCUGGUUAACCAAAAAUAUACCUUGUCCAGGGAUGAAAGUUCUAGAAAACUGGGGCACAAUAGAAAGAGGUGUUAACGUGGGACGGAUGUUCUUGAGGUUUGACAGCUGGGCUGGUGCUGGUGAUUGGGCUGGCGAGGUGACAGGACUACCUAGUUGAGGACUAUGCUGCAACUGGAUAAACAACAAGCGUGUAUUUAAAAAGGUAUCCAGUUGAACAAGCUAAAUUACAAGCAUUCCAACACUGGAAACAAAAGUACUAUCAGAAUAGAUUUUAUUCCAAAAAAGAACUUUUGGGGAAAAAAAACCACAACAAUGCAAAAAUGCAACUUAUGCAAAUAAGUCAUGCUGAAAAUAAAACAGAAAACUCAUACCUGAGCAGCACUGUCUAAAGUGCUAAGUUCUGUGGACUUCUGCCCCCUUUGAUGAUCACAGUAAUAUUUAUUCUGUUUCCACUGUGGAGGUGAAUGGUUCCGAGGCUGAGGGUUGUUAGGUAUAUUUAGCUGCAUCAUUACUACUCCUCCACCUGGUGGUGCUGCUACUGCUACAUGGCAAGAAAUGAGUAGGAUACAGUUAGUUCAUCAUCAAUUUCAAUUUUAAUUUUAGUAGAAAAGACAUGAAUUAAAAAAAAAAAAAAGGAAACAACGCUAACGACAUCCUGCUAAAUAAGCUGCUCAUUUCUAGAAAACUAGGACAGGAUAUUCUGUACAAUUGUAUUUCCACUAUCAAAUAAAUCCGCACUAGAUUAGCUUAAGAGAAGGUUUCCCUGAACUACAAAAGAUAAACAGAACCCCUGAAACUCAUUAUUGGGAAUAUUUUUAAAAAGAAAUUCUGUUUAACAAUAGUUAGCAGUAUUCUGCAUUUACUGUAGUUACUGUCAGAGUAAUGUUCUCUUUGAUAUGGUGCCAUACAUUAGAAAGAUCUGGAACUGGUCUUUAGUCCAAAGCAACGUUUUAUUCAUUCACACAUUUUAUAACUGAUCCUACAAGUCUGGGAUUGCUUUUCUGAGCAGGGAGUGUAGUUUGUUCCACACUGCCAGAACCACUUAGCUGCUGUGGUAGCUGCAGAAAUUCCAGUUAGGGGAGAACAGCCAAACAGCCAACACUGUUCCAUAUGGUUUUGUGUAAAGAGUUGUGAUGAGAGUUUUCUGAGAGAUUAGAUGUUCUUCCCCCAUUCCAGGUAAUUUAUAUAAUGUCCUAUUUACUUGAAAAUGGCUGUUUGCAAUUUCCUUCUUUCUUCUAUGUUCUGUUUACAUAAUUUCUCACAAGCCAUGGUUAAAAUACACCGUUUGAACGCCAUUUAAUCAUCCAGGUUCAAACAGGCAGUCCACAAGCUUCUCAAUUCAUUACCUCCACCAUACCAUCAGUUCGGAAGAGUGAAUCAGAUAACAAAAAUGCACUGCUCCUGUAUCUUCCUAAAAUGGGCUACUGUAUUCACUACCCCCCCAUUCCAAAAAGAAACAAUCUGAUUCCUUGGAAAUGCAAACCAUACAAUGUAGAGUAACAAGCUCUUAACAUUAGAACUGCAUUAGCCCUUCUAAACUGUAUUAUGAAAUAUUUACUGUAUUGAUUUUUAUCAAAACAAUGUGAUAAUAGCAAUGCUUUCACAUCUAUGCUUCCUUCCCAAAUUUUUUAAAUGGCAAAAAGUUCUACCUAUGCGCCACAGACUGAAAUGUAAUCAUCAGAUUACCUCACCAACUUUAGUGGAGGACAGAAAUUUGAGUAUCCCUGCUCUGCCUUGUAAAAGCCACAUGGUGAAUAUUUCUAUCCUGUUGCGCAACAAAAUAAAACAGACUUCUGCUCAUGGAUUGCUGCUAUAUAAUCAGAAUAACACACAGCAAGUUGCCAAGUGGCAAGGCCUCUGUAAUCUCUAUAGACAAACUUGAGGCAAAGAGGCAAAAGCCAAUAUACACACUACCUUUCACACAACAAGACUGGUUUCAUUUUAUUAAUUAUGCAUAUAUUUAUAAAUUUUAUAAAUGUUAUAUUUACAUUUUACUGCUUUAUAAUUUCUACAGUGCUUGGCACGUAACUUCUGUCAUCUCUGUUCUGUGAGAUAAGAACUCCCAAGGAAAUAACCUACGCCAUUAUUGCUUGACAAAUGUCACACGCUGAAAGUUCUAUGUAAACUACAAAACAGAACUGUAGAACCCCAAAUGCAGUUUUCUCCUACAAGUUUCACAGCAUUUGAGUAAGUGAGAAUAAAUGGAACUCUUUUCCUAUAACAAGUAUGCUUGAAAUCAAGCAUCAUAGAAGGCAAAAGUCAGAUGCAGAUAUUCAGCUAUCAAAAAGCAUUAAAAGACAAACCCAGGAGAAAUCCUUGAAAGGCUCCCAGACUGAGCUGUUCCCCUUCAAAUUUUUCAAGGGGAGAAACACUCAGCUGCCUGCCUAUGUAUGUCCUCAGUGUCCUUGCCUUGAGAUGAUUCCUCAGGGUAUCAUCUCAGUAUUGCUGUUGCUCAAGUGCAUGCUUUUCUUUAUUCUCUCAGUAUUUAGAAGGCUAUCACCUUCCCCAACCUUGUUUAAAUGACAGUUUAACAGGUUUGAAUCAGACCUUCAAAACGGCACAAAACCAGAACUACCAGGAUAAGGGUAGAACAAAUCAGUGCUAGACCAAUUUUGGACAUCUGGAAAUGGCUGUUUUUAAGAAUUACAUCCAAGAAAACUAAAAAUGCCUGUGAACUAAAAUACACUGCUGAUCCAGCUAUCAUGCCACUUGCACAGUUACUAAUGAACAGUCUCUAAAAAUAUCUUUAAAGAUAACAGGUCAUAAGAGACAUCUCAUCUGUAGUGGAAUCUAGGUCAUUGACCUAGUUGUUCCAGCUACUGCUUGCAAAAUACUGAUAGCAAUGUUAGAAAUUACAUCCCCCCUCCUUUUUUCUUUUUAUUGCCAACAGAACCUCUCAUGCAUCAAAUUCCCUUUCAGUAAAAUAAGGACAGUAGUACUGACUAUGAUUAAAGGAUUGAUCUAUAAAUCACUGGUUUGGAGGCUAACCCUGAUGCACUUAAUUUCCUGACCAGCUCAUCAAUUUUAUAAUUGUGGCUGGAAAUGCAGAGAUUUUAAGUGUCUGGAUAUCAAUAUUUAUAAAUGUUUCAAGGAUAUGACAAGCUCUAUGUCACUACUGUUUUCAUACUGCAUUGAGGCUGCUAUAUAUAGGCCUUUUAAAAAAAAUUACCUUAAUAUUUUAUAGAGCAAAACAUUCCAAACCUGAUUUAAGAACUUCUGCUAAGCAAUAUUCUUCUCUGUUAAGAAGGCUGCCUCCAGGCUGCUCAUGUAAAGUUGGCUGUUGUUUCAUUUAGAUUCAAUAUGAUCAUUUUUUAAGUUACAAUGACAGUAAUUCAGAUGAAGAAUUAUGGAAAAGUAUUUGCAGAGACAGCACUCAAGUCACAAUUGUUCUAGCAAGUAGCCGUGAAAUCAAUCUGAUAAUUUCUAGACAGAAUGGCUUAGACAAAAAUCCCAAUGAAAUAUACCUUUUAUUGGCUGCAUGAUGGAAAGACCAGUGGGUGAACUUUUACAUGAGGGUGGAGACACUAUGCUGUAGUGCAAAAUGGAAGCAGCCUGUUGCGGCUUUGACUUUGAUGAAGGUGACAAUAAUGUAGGAGGUGAUGGCUUCUGACUUGAAUGGUUGUUAUAAACUAUGGAAGUAAAGGCAGUAAAUAAGGCUACCAGAAGAAACAAACAUGAGAACAGAAUACUUUGGAGUAUUUAAUUUCCCCUUUCAACAUUUGAAAAGGCUACCUGUCUCCUCUCUAUCCAAGCCCAGGAUGUUUACAGUUUUUUGCAUCUUCUCAUGAUCUUCAAGAAAAAAAAAAUUCAGACCCACACAGCCAUGGAGGAAAAGAUUAAAGUCAUUUGGCAGCAAACACAUUGUUUCCAAGUCUGUCUCAAUGCAAAAGCAGACAUGCAGGGCGUUGUAGUGUCCAAUGCUGAAUUCUAGCAAAGUAAUGAGAGCUUUCAAUGAUAAACAAAUUAAGAUGUGAAGUCAACCUGUAUCCAAUCUAACUUCAAACACAGAAUACAGAAGGAAAUAAAAAAAAUACUUAAUUCUAAAUCAAUCCCUUAAUAACAAAUAUACAAAUACUCUGCGUAACAACGGCUAGAAACUUGCUCCAAAAAAAGCUUGAGUCCCCCAACCUGCACAUUGCUGUCCUUGAAGCUGCUGUGAGUUACACGGUGAUGAUGUUCUAGGAAACUGUAUCUGCUCUGAUCCAGGAGGCUGCAAAUAUCCUACUGAUGAACUGUAAUAAUAAUAAAGAGAAAAGAACAUGACUAACAGAAGUUUGUCACAUUUAAUCCUAACCACUGCAUUUGUUGCCUAAAGAUACUACAAGUUACUGGGAUUUCACUCAUUUCAAAUCAGUAACAUUCCCACCUACCCCCUGCCCAGGAAUCUGUUCUUCAGAAGGCAGUAGUUUCAAGUCUGUUCCUUGGCCAUAACUUAUGAGCUGCAUAUGUCAAAAAACUAGUAAUUUAUUUAUUUUGAUGUGUGUGCAAACAGAUGGUAUAAAGACGUAUAGAAUUAAUUUACUAUAAUUAGGUCUCAGUUAAAUAGCCACCACGGAACCCACCACAAGGCUCUCACAUGCUGUUUUCUCAGCUGGAGGCUGGCCUCAAGCAGCUGAGUCAGCUUAUUCAGCACAUAGAAUGAGCAUACUCAUCCACUUCAGUGCAGAGUAAGGCAGCUUAGACAGAUACCUACAGGGGUUGCCUUAGCACGGCUUUACCAAACAGGAGAUCGGGAAAAAGUACCCAGUCACGGAAGAAGACAAAGAAAUAGCCUUUCAUUUAUUUGUAAUACAUAUGAAAAGGAUAAUUUUGAAAGUUUACUUAUGCCAGCUAAUUCGAGACAUUCGAGGCCAAACAGUUAAGUAACCGACACAGCCAAACUUCAUCGUAACACAGACAGAACGUCCGUCAGGCUGGAGGGCUACAACCUGAGAAUGGUGUCCACAGAAUCUGGUACUUCAUGUCAGUACUAACAGGAAGCGAACAUCCUGAGGGAAUGAGACUUCUUAAAAUAACUUCAAACUAUAGAAUAAAGGAAGUGUAAUCCUGUUGAGCCUCCACUAGGAAUGCAUUUUCAUGUAUGACUUUACUUAAGUUUUUUUUUCCAUCCUUUGUCCCUGAGAUCAAGUAUUUGAUUAUAAAUUACAAAUGCUUGUAUUUUGAAACAGGUAUAACUCAGUGGAAACUAAAACAAAUUACUUUCUAUCUGCACGGGAUGUACUCUUUCACGGAUCUUCUCAUCUUUCUAUUGAUUUUAGUCUACAAUAAUGACCUGUGGGUUUGAGGCCAUUCAGUUCCUGCAGAAAGGUAUUCUAUGUUCUCUGUUGAAGUGCUGCAACACAUCUAUUCUGAUAAAAGCAAGAUGCUGUCCUAAGCUGCUAGUCUGCUCUAAACACCAAAUAAAAGUUACCCUGUUUGAAAGGGAUGGCCAUUGCAAAUGACAGAAGAGAUAAAGCAACAAAGCUUAUUAUAAAAAAGUCUAUGGUUAUGUCUAACUAUGACUCCACUGAAUCUCAAACGUAACCAAAUAAGAUAAGGUUAAAAAGAACCUUAGGGUACAAAGAACCAGAAUUCAGAUUCAUUUAACUGGAUGGAGUCGUG
rnacentral:lncRNA from 1 species